UGGGGAAUUUUGGACAAUGGGCGCAAGCCUGAUCCAGCAAUGCCGCGUGAGUGAAGAAGGCCUUCGGGUUGUAAAGCUCUUUUGUCAGGGAAGAAACGGCUGAGGUUAAUACCUUCGGCUAAUGACGGUACCUGAAGAAUAAGCACCGGCUAACUACGUGCCAGCAGCCGCGGUAAUACGUAGGGUGCAAGCGUUAAUCGGAAUUACUGGGCGUAAAGCGUGCGCAGGCGGUUUUGUAAGUCUGACGUGAAAUCCCCGGGCUCAACCUGGGAAUUGCGUUGGAGACUGCAAGGCUGGAGUCUGGCAGAGGGGGGUAGAAUUCCACGUGUAGCAGUGAAAUGCGUAGAGAUGUGGAGGAACACCGAUGGCGAAGGCAGCCCCCUGGGUCAAGACUGACGCUCAUGCACGAAAGCGUGGGGAGCAAACA
rnacentral:rRNA from 1 species